GUUCUUGUUUGGCAGCAUAUACACUAAAAUUGGGGGGUACAGAGAAGACUAGCGUGGGUCCUGUGUGAGGAUGACAGGCGAAUUCGUGAAGCAUUCCAUAUUUUU
ensembl:snRNA U6 U6 spliceosomal RNA